rnacentral:rRNA from 1 species
CCUACGGGAGGCUGCAGUGGGGAAUAUUGCACAAUGGGGGAAACCCUGAUGCAGCGACGCCGCGUGAGUGAAGAAGUAUUUCGGGAUGUAAAGCUCUAUCAGCAGGAACGAGACAAGACGGUACCUGACUAAGAAGCCCCGGCUAACUACGUGCCAGCAGCCGCGGUAAUACGUAGGGGGCAAGCGUUAUCCGGAAUCACUGGGUGUAAAGGGAGCGUAGACGGCUGUGCAAGCCUGAAGUGAAAGGCGGGGGCCCAACCCCUGGACUGCUUUGGGAACUGUACGGCUGGAGUGCAGGAGAGGUAAGUGGAAUUCCUAGUGUAGUGGUGAAAUGCGUAGAUAUUAGGAGGAACACCAGUGGCGAAGGCGGCUUACUGGACUGUAACUGACGUUGAGGCUCGAAAGCGUGGGGAGCAAACAGGAUUAGAUACCCCUGUAGUC